rnacentral:rRNA from 1 species
GACGAACGCUGGCGGCGUGCUUAACACAUGCAAGUCGAGCGGAGCGGCGAACGGUUGAGUAACUCGUGAGUAACUGCCCCCCUCCCUGGGAUAACAGUUGGAAACGGCUGCCAAUACCGGAUAGUGGGGGAUGACUCGCGUCCUAUCAGCUUGUUGGUGGGGUAGUGGCCUACCAAUGCGACGACGGGUAGCCGGCCUGAGAGUGCGACCGGCCACAUUGGGCUGAGAUACGGCGCAAACGACUACGGGAGUCAGCAGUCGGGAAUAUUGCACAAUGGGGGAAACCCUGAUGCAGCAACGCGCGUGCGGGAUGACGGCCUUCGGGUUGUAAACCGCUUUCAGCCAUGACUCGGUAGUGGCAGAAGAAGCACCGGCUAACUACGUGCCAGCAGCCGCGGUAAUUC